UACGUAGGGUGCGAGCGUUAAUCGGAAUUACUGGGCGUAAAGCGUGCGCAGGCGGUUCGUUGUGUCGGCGGUGAAAGCCCCGGGCUCAACCUGGGAAUGGCCGUUGAAACUGGCGAACUGGAGUGUGGCAGAGGGGGGCGGAAUUCCGCGUGUAGCAGUGAAAUGCGUAGAGAUGCGGAGGAACACCGAUGGCGAAGGCAGCCCCCUGGGCUGACACUGACGCUCAGGCACGAAAGCGUGGGGAGCAAACAGG
rnacentral:rRNA from 1 species